UUGUCUUCAGAGUAACUCAUGCAAUUUGAGGUGAGUUAUCCCAGUUGUCCAGAAGCUCCUUUCAGUCAUAAGAGACGGUAGCAGCAACAUUAUGUACAAAAGAAGUUACGACCAACGCGAAAAAACAACAACAAAAUAGCAUGGUUGGUAAAGAGCCGAUAAGAUGGCAACCCUACCCUCCGGCUCCAUCUUUAAGUUCCAUCCCUACAGUAAAGCAUGGUGGUGGCAGCAUCAUGCUGUGGGGAUGUUUUUCAGCGGAUCUAAUCAGGAGCAAGGGAAAGAUGAACGGAGCAAAGUACAGAGAGAUCCUUGAUGAAAACCUGCUCCAGAGCGCUCAGGACCUCAGACUUGGGCGAAGGUUCACCUUCCAACAGGAUAACAACCUUAAGCACACAGUCAAAACAACGCAGGUGUGGCUUUGGGACAAGUCUCCGAAUGUCCUUGAGUGUCCCAGCCAGAGCCCGGACUUGAACCCGAUCGAACAUCUUGGGAGAGACCUGUAAAUAGCUGUGCAGUGACACUCCCCAUCCAAACAGACAGAGCUUGAGAGGAAACGCCCCAAAUAAAUGUAUGCCAAGCUUGUAGCGUCAUACCCAAGACAACUCGAAGCUGUAAUCGCUGCCAAAGUUGCUUCAACAAAGUGCUGAGUAAAGUUUUUUAUUUUUAAUACAUUUGAAAACAUUUCUAAAAAACGUUUUUUUGAUUUGUCAUUAUGGGUAUUGUGUGUAGAUUGAUGAGGGAAAAAAUGUGGGCCAUGACCAGCCUCUAGUAGCACUUCAUGAUGACCGAAGUGAGUGCGAUGGGGCGAUAGUCAUUUGGGCAAGUCACAUUGUUGUUUUUGGACACUGGGACGAUGGUACUCUUCUUAAAGCAGGUAGGGACUACAGUUUGGGACAGGGACAGGUUGAAGAUGUCUGAGAAGAUGCCCAUGGGCUGGUCAGCACAAACUGAGGAAGCAGCCAGGGAUGCCAUCUGGUACCAAUAUCUCCAUUCAUCCAAGGUUUUUGGUUGGGUGUCAACUGAAACCACUGGAAUAUCAAAGAGAUGAACACUUCUACAUCAGCAAACUUCACCAUUGCUUCCACUGUCCAUUGGAAUCUCUACUCUGUCUUCGGAGUAACCAACAUCAUCCUGAGUCUCCCCACCAAUGUCUGUCUUUUGGCUGCAAGUGACCUAUCGGAAAAAACUGGUGGCCUUUAACUUCUUCGCUCUCAACCUGUCUGUGUCUGAGAUCCUCUGCUGCAUGUGCGCUGCCUUGAGUCAUCUGGACCAAUAUGUCCUUGGAAGUGUUAUACCACAAGCUAUUAAGUUUGCUGCAGGUCUACACUGGCCGGCCCCUGUCCCAGUCCUGUACCUGUGUGGAGCGCUAGCUGGCAGUGGUCCACACUGUGGUCUUCCUGAAGUACAAACCCCUGAGAUAGAAGAUAGCAUGCUCAGGGUUGGCUUGGCUGUUGGGGAUUGGGUCCUACUUGACCCUUACAUUUCUUGCUCUAUACAAACAGGCUGCGUACUAUCACUUUGUAUUAGGACAUGAGCCCUAGGACCAUGCCUCAGGACUACCUGGCCUGAUGACUCCUUGCUGUCCCCAGUCCAUCUGGCCGUGCUGCUGCUCCAGUUUCAACUGUUCUGCCUGCGGCUAUGGAACCCCGACCUGUUCACCGGACGUGCUACCUGUCCCAGACCUGCUGUUUUCAACUCUCUAGAGACAGCAGGAGCAGUAGAGAUACUCUGAAUGAUUGGCUAUGAAUAGCCAACUGACAUUUACUCCUGAGGUGCUGACCUGUUGCACCCUCGACAACCACUGUGAUUAUUAUUAAUUGACCCUGCUGGUCAUCUAUGAACAGGCACAGCCAGAAGAGGACUGGACACCCCUCAUAGCCUGGUUCCUCUCUAGGUUUCUUCCUAGGUUCUGGCCUUUCUAGGGAGUUUUUCCUAUCCACCGUGCUUCUACAACUGCAUUGCUUGUUUUGGGGGGUUUUAGGCUGGGUUUCUGUACAGCACUUAUAUCAGCAGAUAUCAGCUGAUGUAAGAAGGGCUUUAUAAAUAAAUUGAUUUGAUUUAGAUUUGAGUAAGAAAUAUGCUAACAUGAUUGCCAUUGCUAGCUAGAUAGCUAGCUAAAAUGGUUGCCUAGCAACAAGCAUCGUAAGAAGAUUUGUAAGAAGAUAUUUGAGAAGUUCAUAAGAAAAUCAUUAAAUCUUAAGAUACUGUUGAGGAAUUUCACUAAUCUUAUGUACUUUCUUUUUUUUUCUUAAUGAACUUCUUAAGUUUUUGCAAAAUAAGUGUUUUGUGAAUCUGGGCCCAGCACUGAUAUUCUUUCGAUCAUAUCAGUUUUGACACAUGGUUUAACAACACACUUAGUGAACGUUCUCUCCACGUGCUUGUUUGGGUCACACUCUUAAAAAGUUGGCUCGUAAAUACUGAUUCAUCUGGUAAAUACUGAUUCAUCCGGUCAUUAUAAUGAUUAAGUUACAUCGUAACUGGGAAACGAGGCCCAGGUAAUUUACUAGUCACCUCUCUCCCAGCCAUUCUCCAAUCUGGCUGCAACAAAUCAUUGAUGCAAAUAAGGCAGACACCAUGGCUAGUCUCCUGGUGGUACAAGCUCCCACUUUACUUAUUGUGUGGAUUCAAACAAGACCAAAUGCAACAUUUCCACUGGAAAUACUACCAACCUCAAGAGACAAUCCUCCCAGUCUAUACGCUCAGGUAAUAACAGAUUGAUAAUGCUAGUUGUUGCAUUCCUGGUUAAAUGAAGAAGGUUAUUUUUAGCUAUUGCAAAGAGAACUCGACAGUAUAAAGCAUAAACAUCAGGAAGACGGUUUAUUUCCAACAUGACAGCAGAUACAACAGAGCCAGUUCCUACCGUUGAAGCAUCACAGGCAAGUAUGAGCGGUAGCUCCGGGUUGUAGUGAACCAACACCUGGCUAGGAAGUAGAUGUCUCUUAGCUUCCUCCUUUGGCUUUUCUGUGACCAUUCCCAUUUCACUUCUUUCUGCAGUAGAGCAGUCAUAGGCUUAACUAUGGUAGACAGAUUUGGAAUGAAUUUGCCAUAAUAGUUAAGUAAUGAAAGAAAAGAUCUGAGCUCAGUGGUGUUUGUAGGAAUGGGAGCCUUCUCAAUAGCUUCAGUUUUGUGUUUCAUGGGGUGUAUCCCCUCUGCAUCUAUCACAUGACCUAGAUAGGCUACGCUGUUCUGGAAGAAAGAACAUUUCUCUCUUUUAACCUUCCGAUUGCAGACUUUGAGUCUUUUGAGCACUUUCUUCAAAAUAUCUAAUUUCCUCUUCUGUGUCAUGCCCUGUGAUAAGUGUAUCUCCAAGACAGCAGAUUACCCCAUUACCUUAUAGGAUCUGAUCCACAAUUUUCUGAAAAAUAGCUGGAGCACAGGCAACACCAUAAGGAAGCCUUUUGACCUUAAGUUGAGGUUAAUUUAAAAAAAAAGUUGAUGUUAAUUAAUGUAGAUGUUAUUUUGUUUCAUUUUAUUCAUAAGAAUCUUGAGGGUGCCAAUAAAAUUACUUGUUAAACAAAUUAUCUUUCUAUGAGAAAUUGUAUUAGUAUAGAACAAGAACAUUCCAAAAUAUGUUGAGCAUACAAUGUAGCUCAGUAUUUAUAUGAUUUAUUUUAUACAGUCUUUUUUGCUCAUCUUUAUCAAGGGUUCCAAUCAUUUCAGCACAUACAUAGAACAUACUAGCUACGUUUCCACCCGAUAAAGAAAAUAUGUACAUUUUCUCACCAGAGGUGUGUUUCCGCAAAACAAAAUUCAAACGGGUCACCAGAAUAAGACCUUUGAUAUCUAUUGGAAAGGAGCAUCAAGCUCAUUGCCGUGCACUUUCACUGUAGUGCUAAAUAGUAUUUAAAGGUGCAAUACUUAGAAAUCACUCCGCCAUUUCAUGGUUGCCAAAAUUCUAAUAGUUUGUCUAAUUUCAGUUUGUUACAAAACAAGAAUCAUUGUACCAUCUAAACCGCUGUUAAAUAUCCUUUCAAUAACCCAAAAUAUGGUAUUUUCAGGUGGUUGAACAUGGUGUACAAAACCAAAAGUAAAUUAUGCACAAACCAAACUUAAGAAUGGGAAGCAUAGAAUUAGCAAACAUAGAAAAGAUCUACCUACCGCUUCAUAGACUUGCCUUUCUUUCAAUGAGAAUGACAGAUCUAUAACUCUUAUUUCUAUGUGAAUUUUGUCAGGUCACCCAAUAAGUUACAUAUUGCAGCUUUAGCAAUCUAAAUGUGAUAAACCUGACUAUCUAUAUGCCUGGACUGUGAAUGCUAUGUUCAUGUCCGUAUUGCCUUGUAACUUAAGCUUUAUACCGUGUAUGUGAUUUCAAACAUUUUACAAAGUUAUUAAAUAAUGCUUGCAUUAUUA